AGAAGAGGACUUGUGCAAGGGGGACUCACUUCCUAAACCUCGGGUCUGGACUGAGCUAGGCACUGUUCACUUUCCAGGCGUGCACAGAGUGACAGGGUACUUUCCUGUGACUUACUAAUCCAGCUUGGGAACAAAACAAGGGAGGAUGCUACCACACUUCCCACAAACACAGCGGUGUUCACACCUUUUGCUCAUUCUGUAAAAGAGUCCCAACAGAGCUCUCAGGUCCUGGGGAAGCCUGAUGAGAGAUGUCGUUCCAGACCCGCAGACAGAGAAGUCGCCCCUUGGAGAGGAAGAGGAGGAAGAGUUCUCGCAGGUCUGCUUUGCAAAGGAAAAAAUCUUACUUCGUAGGCUUUCGAGGAAUGUUCCUCUUUGAAGAAAUAAUUCAAACCCAUCAGUUUGUUCUGGAGCGUUAUUAGAGACCUUCACCGCUGCACUCUGGCCGUUUGUACCCUUCUGCAGAGAGUGAACUAGUGCCAUGUUUCCUGUGGAUUUCAUGACUGCAUUAUCCAGGCAGUAUUAAAAUCUGUUCAUGCCAAGUCUUUGGAACACCAACCUGUUGUGGACGCAGUGUCAUGUUUCAUGGGACCUGGUUACAUUACGGAAAAAGAUGUUUGCAUCGUAGACUACUUAGCUCUUCUUUGAAACACUGAACUUUCUGACAAGCAGUAGGAGGUAAAAAGGGAAAAAAAAAUACUACAAAUCUCCAGGUAGGUGAAAGUUCCAGCAAAUUAGAGAUUAUUUAACCAUAUUAUUUGCCUCCUCUGCCUGCCUCAUUCGCACCCCACUCCACCACAGCCACGAGCAUCUACGUACGUGGUUUACGCGGACAAAGACAAAGCAUGGGCUUAUACCCAUCUUCUUCUAGACCCACUAAAGUUUAAAUUCAUCAUCUUAAAGCUUGUUCUCCCGUCUUUCAUUUCCUCAGCUUCCUCUUCUGUGACAGUGAGGUAACACCUGCCCCACAAUCAGGAAUACAUUGAUAUUGCUUUCAAACAUACAUAUUAGCUAAAAGGCAAGCCCACAUAAAAAGAAAGUUUAUUUAUAAACUUAGUUUAAAAUUUCAAAAGCAUAGAUGGGUUAGGGAUGGGCACUUCCAUUUUAUCAGACAGUAGCAGAAAAGUAGAAACUGUSCAAAUUUAUCUUCACUUACCCUGUAAAAUUCCCUAGGUCACUGAACUUCAGAUGAUGUGACCUUGUAAAAGCAGCAAGACUGUUUCUAGACUCAUUGCUGGGAAAACAAAAUUGUUUGACAACGGUAUUCAUCCCCUUGGACUGCAAAACGAUCACUGACUCUUACAUGGAUAACAGAAAGGUUAAGAAAAAGAUCUUCAAAAGGAGGACUUUUUAGCCACAAAGGACAGAAAAAGGAAAAGAAAGGACUAAAAGUUGUGUACAAAGAAGCUAUUUAAUGCAGUU
rnacentral:lncRNA from 1 species